ACAUAGAGAACAUUGCAAGACGACCGUUCUUGAGCUCCUUCACUUUCAAUUCCGAAAACGCCUCUGGAUCCUCCGCUAAGUUCAAUGGGUCAAACGCUCCACCGGGGUAAAGUGGGUCAAGCCCUUCACCAAGAGGCCCACCUCCGAUUCUGUACCCUUCAAUUAAGCCCAUCAACACAACUUGAGAAGCCCAUAUGGCUAAGAUGCUUUGCGCGUGGAUCAAGUUAGGGUUUCCGAGGUAAUCAAGUCCUCCUUCGGAGAAGAUCUGAGAUCCUGCCUUGAACCACACGGCUUCACCGAACUUGACUCCGUUUUUGGAGAGAAUCUCUGGGAAGGUGCAGCCUAAAGCGCCUAGCAUUGCCCAUCUACUGUGGAUCACUUCGAGCUCACGGUUCUUUGCAAACGUUUCUGGGUCG
rnacentral:lncRNA from 1 species